rnacentral:lncRNA from 1 species
UGACUGGCUUUGACUUUACAAAGUCAUGGACUUUGCAGCCCAAGGUCACUCAGCUGGCGUUGCCAGCCUUUUUGCUGCCGGGAGGUGGUAGGAUGGGCUCUGGCUAGAGCCGGGCUGUAGCCUAAGGAAAGGGUUAGAACUGGUAGGUGAGGGAGAAGAACCGGGAGUUGUCCAAUCCGGUGCGGGGCACCUAAUUAGGUGUUUGGGAGUAGGAAUGACCUGGAGGGCUCCCCAUUUAAGUAUGGUGAGGGCCUGGGGUCCUUCCUAAAACCUGCCACCCUGGAAAUUAGGACUAAGGCACGUGUCAGCAUGCCUGGCCUUGAUCAUCUUCCUUCUUGACCCCUCAUUUAUUCUUCCUAGAGCAGCCAGCAAGGUCUUUGCAAAACAUCGAUCAUGUCAUUUCCUCGCUUGGAACGAAUUCAGCCUCUCAUAGCGGGCAACAGCACCAAGGCCUGAAAGGAAGGCUUGCUGGGUGCCAGGAAGCAGGACAUUGCAUUAAAAAGCAGGUCUGGUUCAGCACUAAUCCCUACCUACUUCUGCUUGGUCCCGCCAGCUCGCUACCAUGGAUUCCUGAGAUCUUUUUGUUCCGGCUCACUUCCUUCCUCUGGCCAUCAACCUAAGGAGGUCCUGUUUGCAAGCCAUUGUCCAUGACAUUGCUUUUUGUUUGGGUUUUUGAUUGUUGAGUCUGGUCUUGAACUUGUGAUCUUCCUGCCUCUUCAAUGUUAAGUGAACCACCAUCCCUGAAACAUUAGUUUCCUUGAUGAUACUCCAUCCUGUAUUUGUUUUGAAAUUGUACACUGGUGUGAGAUCCCUUGGAACUGGAGUUACAGACAAUUGUGAGCUACCAUGUGGGUGCUGGGAAUUGAACCCAGGUCCUGUGGAAGAGUAGACAGUGCUCUUAACCACUGAGCCAUCGCUCCAGCACCUUGUGUGCUGGUCUUAAACUUGAACAGGCUGCC